GGAGGUUGAUUUCCUUUAUUUUUGCAACUAAGAGAUACAUUAGGUGAAUUACUGGAGUAGAGAUUCUUGGGAGACAGAAGUUACAAACUAUUUUUGUGGAAUUAAGGAUUUUAUUAUUAUUUUAUGGCAUUAAACUUGUAUUGGAGAAUUAUUUUGAGGAUAUUUUGUAUUUGGUGAAUUAGAGCUCUAACUUUUGAAAUCAGAUUCAAGGCUGCCUAGCUGGCACAACUACUGAAGCAAGCUUCCUCUGCGGCUCCACCUCUCUCAACUGCUCAAGCAAGCUUUCUCCACCUCUCUCAUUCUUUCUCUGAUUCUUUGCUCUCUGCCUCUCUCAACUGCUCAAGGUUUUGAGUUUUGAGGACUGAGGUAUCUAUAAUUUAUUUGGGCGCUUGGCUUUCUAUUGGGCCUGUUUUAUUUAUAUUGAGUUGAGUUAUGUGGUUGCCUGGACGUUUCGGUGUUUCAUGUUUGUUUGGGCCUUCAAUUUUUUUUUUUUUUUUAAUAAAGGCUGCGUUUUUUGUUUUUGGGUUAUAGAUAGGAUUUGUUUUGUGUUUUUUUGUGAGUGGUCUUAUUAAUAAGCCUUGUGUUAUGGUUGUGCUUAAAUUUUUUUUUUUAAAAAUUUAAUCUUGUGUUUUUAUAAAU